rnacentral:rRNA from 1 species
GACGAACGCUGGCGGCGUGCCUAAUACAUGCAAGUCGAACGCAGUGGGGACGGGUGAGUAAAACGUGGGUAACCUCCCAUCAGAGGGGAUAACACUUGGAAACAGGGGCUAAACCGAUACUGAUGGAUGGACUAGCGGUGCAUUAGCUAGUUGUUGAGGUAACGGCUCACCAAGGCCACGAGGCAUAGCCUACCUGAUAGGGUGAUCUGCUACACUGGGACUGAGACCCGGCCCAGACUCCUACGGGAGGCAGCAGUGGGGAAUCUUCGGCAAUGGACGAAAGUCUGACCCAGCAACGCCGCGUGAGUGAAGAAGGUUUUCGGAUCGUAAAACUCUGUUGUUAGAGAAGCGGUAUCUAACCAGAAAGCCACGGCUAACUACGUGCCAGCAGCCGCGGUAAUUC